CAGUCGAACGAGUUCUGAUUAUUGAAAGGUGCUUGCAUCUUGAUUUAAUUUUGAACGAGUGGCGGACGGGUGAGUAACACGUGGGUAACCUGCCCUUAAGUGGGGGAUAACAUUUGGAAACAGAUGCUAAUACCGCAUAAAUCCAAGAACCGCAUGGUUCUUGGCUGAAAGAUGGCGUAAGCUAUCGCUUUUGGAUGGACCCGCGGCGUAUUAGCUAGUUGGUGAGGUAACGGCUCACCAAGGCAAUGAUACGUAGCCGAACUGAGAGGUUGAUCGGCCACAUUGGGACUGAGACACGGCCCAAACUCCUACGGGAGGCAGCAGUAGGGAAUCUUCCACAAUGGACGCAAGUCUGAUGGAGCAACGCCGCGUGAGUGAAGAAGGCUUUCGGGUCGUAAAACUCUGUUGUUGGAGAAGAAUGGUCGGCAGAGUAACUGUUGUCGGCGUGACGGUAUCCAACCAGAAAGCCACGGCUAACUACGUGCCAGCAGCCGCGGUAAUACGUAGGUGGCAAGCGUUAUCCGGAUUUAUUGGGCGUAAAGCGAGCGCAGGCGGUUUUUUAAGUCUGAUGUGAAAGCCCUCGGCUUAACCGAGGAAGUGCAUCGGAAACUGGGAAACUUGAGUGCAGAAGAGGACAGUGGAACUCCAUGU
rnacentral:rRNA from 2 species